rnacentral:rRNA from 1 species
CCUACGAGGCAGCAGUAGGGAAUCUUCCACAAUGGGCGAAAGCCUGAUGGAGCAACGCCGCGUGGGUGAAGAAGGUCUUCGGAUCGUAAAACCCUGUUGUUAGAGAAGAAAGUGCGUGAGAGUAACUGUUCACGUUUCGACGGUAUCUAACCAGAAAGCCACGGCUAACUACGUGCCAGCAGCCGCGGUAAUACGAAGGUGGCAAGCGUUAUCCGGAUUUAUUGGGCGUAAAGGGAACGCAGGCGGUCUUUUAAGUCUGAUGUGAAAGCCUUCGGCUUAACCGGAGGAGGGCAUAGGAAACUGGG